rnacentral:rRNA from 1 species
AACCUGGUUGAUCCUGCCAGUAGUCAUAUGCUUGUCUCAAAGACUAAGCCAUGCAUGUCUAAGUAUAAAUGGUAUACAAUGAAACUGCGAAUGGCUCAUUAAACAGUUAUAGUUAUUUGGUAAUCGAAUUACAUGGAUAACCGUGGUAAUUCUAGAGCUAAUACAUGCUGUAAGCCCGACUUCACGGAAGGGCCGUAUUUAUUAGAUAACAGACCAAUAUUCCUCGUGUCUAUUGUGGUGAAUCAUAGUAACUAAUCGGAUCGCAUGGGACUUUCCCGCGACAAACCAUUCAAGUUUCUGCCCCAUCAGCUUUCGAUGGUAGUGUAUUGGACUACCAUGGCUUUUACGGGUAACGGAGGAUUAGGGUUCGAUUCCGGAGAGGGAGCCUGAGAAACGGCUACCACAUCUAAGGGAGGCAGCAGGCGCGUAAAUUACCCAAUCCUAAU